rnacentral:ncRNA from 2 species
UUAGCUCGUUAGGGGUGCCCGCCGUUUGGGCUGAGAGAGACCCUUGGCACCUGAUCCGGUUAAUACCGGCGUAGGGAAACGAAUGAUUCUGGAU